CGGAGGGUGCAAGCGUUAUCCGGAUUCACUGGGUUUAAAGGGUGCGUAGGUGGGUUGGUAAGUCCGUGGUGAAAUCCCCAAGCUUAACUUGGGAACUGCCGUGGAUACUAUCAAUCUUGAAUAUCGUUGAGGUAAGCGGAAUAUGUCAUGUAGCGGUGAAAUGCUUAGAUAUGACAUAGAACACCGAUAGCGGAGGCAGCUUGCUAAGCGAUUAUUGACACUGAGGCACGAAAGCGUGGGGAGCAAACAGGAUUAGAUACCCUGGUAGUCCACGCCCUAAACGAUGAUUACUCGACAUACGCGAUACACAGUGUGUGUCUGAGCGAAAGCAUUAAGUAAUCCACCUGGGAAGUACGAUCGCAAGAUUG
rnacentral:rRNA from 1 species